UACGAAGGGGGCUAGCGUUGCUCGGAAUUACUGGGCGUACAGGGCGCGUAGGCGGCGCUGUUAGUCAGGCGUGAAAUUCCUGGGCUCAACCUGGGGACUGCGCUUGAUACGGCAGUGCUUGAGGAUGGAAGAGGCUCGCGGAAUUCCCAGUGUAGAGGUGAAAUUCGUAGAUAUUGGGAAGAACACCGGUGGCGAAGGCGGCUCACUGGCUCAUUACUGACGCUCAGGCGCGACAGCGUGGGGAUCAAACAGG
rnacentral:rRNA from 1 species